AUUGAACGCUGGCGGCAUGCCUUACACAUGCAAGUCGAACGGUAACAGGUCUUCGGAUGCUGACGAGUGGCGAACGGGUGAGUAAUACAUCGGAACGUGCCCGAUCGUGGGGGAUAACGGAGCGAAAGCUUUGCUAAUACCGCAUACGAUCUACGGAUGAAAGCAGGGGACCGCAAGGCCUUGCGCGGACGGAGCGGCCGAUGGCAGAUUAGGUAGUUGGUGGGAUAAAGGCUUACCAAGCCGACGAUCUGUAGCUGGUCUGAGAGGACGACCAGCCACACUGGGACUGAGACACGGCCCAGACUCCUACGGGAGGCAGCAGUGGGGAAUUUUGGACAAUGGGCGAAAGCCUGAUCCAGCCAUGCCGCGUGCAGGAUGAAGGCCUUCGGGUUGUAAACUGCUUUUGUACGGAACGAAAAGACUCUUUCUAAUAAAGAGGGUCCAUGACGGUACCGUAAGAAUAAGCACCGGCUAACUACGUG
rnacentral:rRNA from 1 species